UUUGCAGGAAGAUGUACUUUUUUUAAGUAGCCUGUUUGAAACCAAAGCAUGUAUUGAGGAACAUAAUAUCCUGAAAGAUGUAUGGUAUAUGGUUUAUUUUCAAGUUGCAGGUACAUUACUCUGCCUGCUGUGAGCCUGAGCUCAUGCGUUGAACUUUAGGCCUGAAAAAAUAUUUCCCUGGAAGCAGAUUCAGUCCCCAAGACAACUCGGCAGGCAGCCUAGUGCAAAAUGUCAUUGAUUUGGGGUGUUAAUCAGAAUGUAUUAUAAAGAUUUUGUUUGGAGCAGCGUUGGAGUUCAUCAGGUUUUCAGAAAUUCUUUGUGCUUUCUAUAAGCAAGCCAGGUUUAUUUAUCCUUCAGUACAUCUUGUGGUAGAGCAUCUUUCUGGGGCCUCGUGCAGCAGCAUCUUUAGUGCAAACCUUCAAGCCUGGGAGUGGCUGACAAAACCACAGAUGAACUUUCGUCAUUGUUUUGGACUGGACCCUGCGGUAUCAAUAAACUAAUAACUUUUCCCAGUCACUUUCUGUCAUCAGUCAGUGAUGCUCUGUGCAAGCAUUUAUUUUGAAUUGCCAGUUCAAGUGUCAUGUCUGUAGUUUCUGUU